UUCAGGCCUAACACAUGCAAGUCGAACGAGAUCUUCGGAUCUAGUGGCGCACGGGUGCGUAACGCGUGGGAAUCUGCCCUAGGGUGCGGAAUAACUCAGAGAAAUUUGAGCUAAUCCCGCAUAAUGUCUUCGGACCAAAGAUUUAUCGCCCUGGGAUGAGCCCGCGUAGGAUUAGCUUGUUGGUGGGGUAAUGGCCUACCAAGGCGACGAUCCUUAGCUGGUCUGAGAGGAUGAUCAGCCACACUGGGACUGAGACACGGCCCAGACUCCUACGGGAGGCAGCAGUGGGGAAUAUUGGACAAUGGGCGCAAGCCUGAUCCAGCAAUGCCGCGUGAGUGAUGAAGGCCCUAGGGUUGUAAAGCUCUUUUACCAGGGAUGAUAAUGACAGUACCUGGAGAAUAAGCUCCGGCUAACUCCGUGCCAGCAGCCGCGGUAAUACGGAGGGAGCUAGCGUUGUUCGGAAUUACUGGGCGUAAAGCGCGCGUAGGCGGUCCAUCAAGUCAGAGGUGAAAGCCCGGGGCUCAACCCCGGAACUGCCUUUGAAACUGGCGGACU
rnacentral:rRNA from 1 species